UAGAAAUUCCAGUGACAGACCUCUCUGUCUAGAUGCUGUCCAGUGAAGAGCUCCACUCUGAAUAGCUACAGAUGCAGCAGAGCAACCAACACUCCUCUGCUUGGAUAAUCAGAGGCUUUGACAGAAUGAAGUCCAGUUGCUUUUAGGUACAAGAGAAUAAACAAAUGUUCUUUAGUAGGAUCAAUUUUAAAAGAUGUCAGCCAGAAGAUGUCCUUUGCUGCCGUGGCAGAAAACGUCAGAGUGAUAUCCAAGGACAGGAGGAUUGAUGGAAAAGGAAUUGUCAGGGGAAAUGUAGCAGGAGUUUAAAGAACUGUGUGAUAAGGAAGACUGUUUCAGCUUCAGCUUGACUCCUAUUGAACAGGAGAGUGCUGCUGUGUUGUGAUGAUGACCGUGGUUAUAAACAAUUGCAAAUGGAUUUCUCCUGCCUGCAUCAACAUCACCAUGGAGCAGCAGCCAGCCUGGAGGUACAUACACACUGAGUUAGAUGUAAUAGGAUGUGUGGUAUUAUGUGGUGCUGGUAG